rnacentral:snRNA from 1 species
UCGCUUUGGCAGCACAUACACCAACAUUGGAACGAUACAGAGAAGAUUAGCAUGGCCCCUGAGCA